rnacentral:tRNA from 1 species
CUGGCUGGAGGUACCGGAGUCGAGCGCAGGCGUCGUUCGGGGGAGCGACCAGGAGUUCCGGCCGUUCGAGCCGAUCUCGCCGGUCCA